ACUCUAGGGUGGCGUGUAGUUGAGGAUCAGGAAAAUGUCGAGGAGAAGAAAACUGUUAGAUUUUACUCACAAACGUUGAAGUAUCCAGGUUUUUGUAUCAAAUAAAUCUACGUGGUGUGGACAGCUAGUAAGCUAGGUCUCUCUUCUAUUCUCAGCCAGUUUGUUAAACAAGGUUUCGUUUAGCUACUUUAGCCGAAACUGUUAACACGUGGAGAGGCUCGAUAAUCUAUGGGUCACCUGAACAAAAUGGGUUCCAGUGAACUGGGCUUGUGGACCUCACAUGCAUGGUCGAGCUGCUGAUGUGAAUGCAGAGCUUGUGUUUGGGGGGCAUCUACCACAAGCACUAAAAUGGUUUGUCUUUGUUUGUUUUUUCAUACACUUUAAGUUUUUACAAUAAAAUAAGUUUUGGAAUAAA